rnacentral:rRNA from 1 species
GAUGAACGCUGGCGGCGUGCUUAACACAUGCAAGUCGAACGGAAAGGCCCAAGCUUGCUUGGGUACUCGAGUGGCGAACGGGUGAGUAACACGUGGGUGAUCUGCCCUGCACUUCGGGAUAAGCCUGGGAAACUGGGUCUAAUACCGGAUAGGACGAUGGUUUGGAUGCCAUUGUGGAAAGUUUUUUCGGUGUGGGAUGAGCUCGCGGCCUAUCAGCUUGUUGGUGGGGUAAUGGCCUACCAAGGCGUCGACGGGUAGCCGGCCUGAGAGGGUGUACGGCGACAUUGGGACUGAGAUACGGCCCAGACUCCUACGGGAGGCAGCAGUGGGGAAUAUUGAACAAUGGGCGCAAGCCUGAUGCAGCGACGCCGCGUGGGGGAUGAAGGCCGUCGGGUUGUAAACUCCUUUCGCUAGGGACGAAGCGUUUUUGUGACGGUACCUGGAGAAGAAGCACCGGCUAACUACGUG